rnacentral:lncRNA from 1 species
UGGUCCGAGACCACAAUUAUUUCGUAGUGCAUUUCUUUUAGAACCUAAAUGAAAAUUAAAAAAAUCCCACCUGCGCUUUCUCAAUGAAAUUUUUACAGUGUGUUGUACUACUUUUGGGACAAAUUAUAUCAAAAUUAUAGAAAACUUCAUCGGCUCUAACUCAAAAUAUGGACAAUUUUAUGUUAAGGGCGUCUUGAAAUCUUUUGACAGCUUCCGAAGUGCUAAUUUUUAACCUUUUUCAGCUGGACCAAAUCACUACUUUCCUUUAAAAUUCUUGACCCAAAUUAUUUUACAGUGUAAUUUCAUCCC